ACUACUUAUACUCCACAGUACCUCCGCAUUUGAAGAUUGUCUUCCUGAGACUAUAUCCAUGUGACUUGAUGGAAUCUUGGAAAGCACCUUGAUCACAAAAGUAAUAAAUUCAAAGCCAAGUCCAAGGGUUAAAGUUGGACACAAAAUGAGAAGUUUGGGGAGAUAAGGCUUGGGAGUUGAGAUCCUGCAUGGAAAACAAGAUGAAUUAACUUCCCAGGCUGCGUGCAGAAGGUUGAAGCAGCUGGAAACAUCUGUUCCCAGAGAAAAGGAGCCCCUCUCUCCUGUCACUCUCCAUGACAGGAACCCAUCAUGCAGUAUCAACCUCAACGAGCCUGUCCUCCCACACUCAGCUUUUCACAUCCUCCAUCCUCAGUGUCCCCACCUGUCUCCCUCUCUACCUGCUUGCCAUGAUUCCUCGGCUCUCAGCCCCUGUUCUAGGGAGGCUGGCCACCUACAUCUCUUCACUGUAGCCUGCGUAUGGGAGCUAUUCCAGUUAGUGGGGCCUGAAUAAUGGGGUGCUCUUUUAAAGACAAUGAAUGCAAAAUUGCA
rnacentral:lncRNA from 1 species